AUUGAACGCUGGCGGCAGGCCUAACACAUGCAAGUCGAACGAGUGGCGGACGGGUGAGUAAUGUCUGGGAAACUGCCUGAUGGAGGGGGAUAACUACUGGAAACGGUAGCUAAUACCGCAUACCAUCGGAUUUGCCCAGAUGGGAUUAGCUAGUAGGUGGGGUAAAGGCUCACCUAGGCGACGAUCCCUAGCUGGUCUGAGAGGAUGACCAGCCACACUGGAACUGAGACAGGGUCCAGACUCCUACGGGAGGCAGAAGUGGGGAAUAUUGCAAAAGGGGCGCAAGCCUGAUGCAGCCAGGCCGCGUGUAGGAAGAAGGCCUUCGGGUUGUAAAGUACUGUCAGCGGGGAGGCGUUACCCGCAGAAGAAGCACCGGCUAACUCCGUGCCAGCAGCCGCGGUAAUAC
rnacentral:rRNA from 1 species